UACGUAUGGUGCAAACGUUGUUCGGAAUCACUGGGCCUAAAGAGCGCGUAGGCGGCUAGGUAAGUCAGAUGUGAAAUCCCUCGGCUCAACCGGGGAACUGCACCUGAUACUGUCUGGCUAGAGUAUGGGAGAGGGAAGUGGAAUUCCUGGUGUAGAGGUGAAAUUCGUAGAUAUCAGGAGGAACAUCCGUGGCGAAGGCGACCACCUGGACGGAGACUGACGCUGAGGUGCGAAAGCGUGGGGAGCAAACAGGAUUAGAUACCCCGGUAGUCC
rnacentral:rRNA from 1 species